rfam:Oryza brachyantha chromosome 2, whole genome shotgun sequence.
UUUUCGUUUUUCCAUGUCUGACAUUUGACCAUCCGUCUUAUUUAAAAAUAAUUUGCGAUUAAUAUUUUUGUUCUUACUAGAUAAUAAAACAUGAAUAGUACUUUAUGCGUGACUAAUUUUUUUUAAGUUUUUAUACAAAUUUUUUAAAUAAAACAAAUAGUCAAACAUUGGAUACGGAAAAAC